GGCAGGGAAGGGGUGACUAGUGACAGAGGGAGGGGUGACUAGGGACAGAGUGAGGGAGGUGGUGACUAGUGACAGUCACCACCUCCCUCACUCUGUCACUAGUCACCACCUCCCUCCGUCACUGUCACCCCCUCCCUCACUCUGUCACCAGUCAUCCCCUUACUCUGUCACUAGUCACCCCUCCCUCACUCUGCCA
rnacentral:sRNA from 1 species